rnacentral:rRNA from 1 species
UACGUAGGGUGCGAGCGUUGUCCGGAAUCAUUGGGCGUAAAGGGCGCGUAGGUGGUUCUGUAUGUCUACCGUGAAAGCGUACGGCUCAACCGUAUUUUGUCGGUGGAAACUGCAGGACUUGAGGCUGGGAGGGGCUGGUGGAAUUCCCUGUGUAGCGGUGAAAUGCGUAGAGAUGGGGGAGAACACUCGUGGCGAAGGCGGCCAGCUAGACCAGUUCUGACACUGAGGCGCGACAGCGUGGGGAGCAAACAGG